AAAAAAAGAAACUCUAAUUUCCGUGUCUAACUUUGACUGUCCGUCUUAUAUGAAUUUUUUUUAUAAUUUAUAUUUUCAUUGUUGUUAGAUGAUAAAACAUGAUUAAUAUUUUAUUCGUGACUUGUCUUUUUAAUUUUUUUCAUAAAUUUUUCAAAUAAGACGGACGGUCAAACGUUGGACACGGAAAUCAGGGUUUGUCUUUUU
rnacentral:pre_miRNA from 1 species